GGUGGGGGGCAUGGGGUGGGGGGGGCGCCGUGGGGAAUUAGCCGACAGGAAGUCGUGGGUGAAGUACUUCCUGUGGCUAGGGGAAGGGUUGCCACCUGUCCUGGUUUUGCCAGGGAUCGUUUUCUCAAUGUUAUUCUUUCCCCCUCUCCUCCCCCACUGGCACACGGCAAGCCGAGCCGGCAUGGGGAGCUCCAGGGCUGUUUUUUUCCGUACCAAAGGGGGGGGGGGGGGGGAUGGGGGUGGCGGCAUAAUCUGGCUCGGGGCCGAGCGGGGCCAGGGCGCCCUUCGGCUGACGGGCACGCAUCUCCGGACGGGCGGAGAAGCGCGCCGGACUCGGCGACGCCACCAAGCCGGCGACGGCCCCCCACGGCCUCAACUUCUACAGCGGAAACGCAGAGCCAAUAGCGGCGCUCGACUCGUGAGCCGCACCUCGGGGCCGGCGCUGGCCCAUGGCACGGCCCCCGGUCACGGCCCUCGGUGUGUUUGAGGAGGCGGGCGGCCAUGGCCAGGAAAUCUUGUCACUCAUCCCUUAACCGGAAAGAUGAAGUCCCGGUAUUUGUGAGUUGCGAAGUAAAAUAACGGUGUUGUUGUUGUUGCUGUCGUUGUGUUUAGUUUGUUGUCCUUUCCACCACGCACCUCCGAUUAGCACGGUUGGCUACGUACGGUGCGAAAAAAGUUCAACGUACUUUAUUCAGGGCGAUCUAUUUAACGGUUGCAGUUGUCCGCUCUUCUGGUCUUGAGAGGUUGCCUUCUCCUGCCCGUGAUGUCUCCCAUAGGUAGCCCACACCCAUCUACAACCGGACCCCGUUCAUCCGCUCCGUUUAAAACACACGUGAUAAUUCACUGUCCCCACAGCAUUGCCGCAGUAAAACUCACGGACAAAUUGUUUCGCCCUCGGGGGUGGUUUGCGAAUCGAGUGGAGUGAAGCUGUAGAAAUCUUGGUGGUGGUAACAAGCACGACCUUUGAUAUAUCAUCCGCACACCCCAGGAUUUCGCGCACGCCCAAGCGACCGUUGAGCAUCGGCGUGACUCGGCUACGGCGACCCGUCCGACAACUUGGAGUUCGCGCCGAAUAUUAAUGUUAACGAUCAGUCGCGUGAUUGAAAACAAAACGAAUGUCGGGCCUCCGAACCUAUCGCAACACCCCUGCCAAUUCCUCGCAGCUCUUACCUUCUCCACGCUUCCGUGCAACGACCCCGGGAACACAUUUGAACGCCGGCACGAAGGUCGCCCCGGUCCAAUACUGCGGUCGCGCUGGAUUACGCUUAAAGAGAUAACACUGCUACUUGCCAUCCUAAACUAAACUACUAAACUGUUUAUUCUUUUUAUUUGUACCAAGUGUAAGCCCCCCACUGAGCCGUGUAGCUCUUUUUCAAAAGCGACCAUCUGGCUAUCACAAGUGAUAUGAUCAUCGUAAUCAUCGCGUGAAAAUUCAUAGCAGUAGCCAAAUAACUCUGAACGCCGGAUGUUGAUUCUAAAUGUGAAGGGGAAACCCGGAGGACCCGGAGAAAAAUCCAUGCGGCUACUGGGAGAGAGAGACACGCAAACUCCAAAUAUACAGCAGCAGGCGUCGGUCAGGAUCGAACCCACGACCUCCUGUAGACCAGGCGAGGUAGUUAACAUCUCCUAGCCACCGUGAUGAUGAUGAGAGAGAGACACGCAAACUACAAAUAUACAGCAGGCGUCGGGGUCAGGAUCGAACCCACGACCCCCUGUAUACCAGGCGAGGUAGUUAACAUCUCCUAGCCACCGUGAUGAUGAUGAUGAUGAGAGAGAGACACGUAAACUACAAAUAUAAAGCAGGCAUCAGGGUCGGGAUCCAACCCACAACUUCCUGUAUACCAGGCGAGGUAGUUAACAUCUCCUAGCCACCGUGAUGAUGAUGAGAGAGAGAGACACGUAAACUCCAAAUAUAAAGCAGGCAUCGGGGUCGGGAUCGAACCCACAACUUCCUGUAUACCAGGCGAGGUAGUUAACAUCUCCUAGCCACCGUGAUGAUGAGCGAGAGAGAGACACGUAAACUACAAAUAUAAAGCAGGCAUCAGGGUCGGGAUCCAACCCACAACUUCCUGUAUACCAGGCGAGGUAGUUAACAUCUCCUAGCCACCGUGAUGAUGAUGAGCGAGAGAGAGACACGUAAACUCCAAAUAUAAAGCAGGCAUCAGGGUCGGGAUCCAACCCACAACUUCCUGUAUACCAGGCGAGGUAGGUAAUAGAGAAGUAUUAAAGACAAGCCCACAGCAGUGCGAUUGUGACCAUGCAACCCAAACUAUCGACCAACAUCAUAAACCCAACGUGGUCUGCGCUCUUUCAACAGCGGAACGGCACGGGACUCCUCUCUCUCUCUCUCUCUGAAGCUCUCUCCUUGUGGCUAGCAGCAGCAGCGGCGGCGGCAAACCUCCACAGUGGCAUCUGUAUCUCCUGAACAGCUGAGAAUAGGAUGUAGGGUGUAAUAGGAUUUCGAGUGUAAUAGGGUGUAAGGAUGUAAUAUGAUGUAAGGGUGUAAUAGGAUGUAAGGAUGGUAAUGGAAUGUAAGGAUCUAAUCGUAUGUAGGAUGUAAUAGGUUGUAGGGUGUAAUAGGGUGUAAUGGUGUAAUAGGAUGUAGGGCUGUAAUAUGAUGUAGGGAUGUAAUAUGAUGUAAGGGUGUAAUAUGAUGUAAGGGUGUAAUAGGAUGUAGGUAUGUAAUAUGAUGUAAGGGUGUAAUAUGAUGUAAGGGUGUAAUAGGAUAAGGGUGUAAUAGGAUGUAAUGGUGUAAUAUGAUGUAAGGAUGUAAUAGGAUGUAGGUAUGUAAUAUGAUGUAAGGGUGUAAUAGGAUAAGGGUGUAAUAGGAUGUAAUGGUGUAAUAUGAUGUAAGGAUGUAAUAUGAUGUAAGGGUGUAAGUCCAUGAGCAGUGUUCGCCGAUGGGCCCAGCGGUCUCCGCGUUGGUCUCAUCGAGGGCUCGGCAACCUGCAGCGCCGAGGCGGCGAGCGGACUCCCUCCAAAGCGCCGCUCCAUGGCGACAUUGCGCGUGGGAGAGAUUUUUUGGGUAUGUUACCGAAUCUCGAAAUAAAGAAAAUGUCCAUUCUGGUUAUGCUCGUCGCCGACCUCCCCCCCCCCACCGCCUCUGGGUCGAAUGAAUGAAACCGAAGUGGUCUGAGCUGCUUCAACGGAGGAAGACCACGGGAAGACAAAGUCACUCUGCUGAAGCCAUCUUGUCGUGGCGAGCAGCAGCAGAAGCAGCACCACCUCCACAUUGCCAUCAUCGAGCGCCUGGUCACCGCUACCAUCAUACGCAAUGAUAGAGAUGCAUCGAGACACAUAGAGACACAUAGAGACACAUAGAGAUACAUAGAAUACAUAGAAAUACAUAAAGACCCAUAGUGACACGAGGGAUAGAGACUCAUCGAUAUGUAUAGAGAUCCAUAUAGACUCAGAGAUGCCCAUAGAGGUCUCCACAUUGGCAUUGAGUUCCUGGACACAGUGCUGCUGCUGCUGUCCCGGUAUGCUAGGAUAUGAUGUAAACGUUUAAACAAAUAUAUUAAAAACUGUCGGAACAUUUAUCAUGGCCGCCAAUCUUGCUUUGGGAAGGGAAUCUUUUUUUAAUGUUCCACCAAAUUCUAAAUGUUAUUCGAGAAUGUUGUGAACGUGCUUGCUAUUUUCGGAGCGUUUCGAAUCAAAAAUGUAAGUUGAUUUGUGUUCGCAGAUAUUUAUGGAGGAGAGAAACGAUUGUGGAGUUUGAUUUGGAUUUUUAAAUGAUUAAAUCGACGAAUUAAAUGAA